UGGGGAAUCUUGGACAAUGGGGGCAACCCUGAUCCAGCCAUGCCGCGUGAACGAUGAAGGCCUUAGGGUUGUAAAGUUCUUUCAGCAGGGAGGAUAAUGACGGUACCUGCAGAAGAAGCCCCGGCUAACUCCGUG
rnacentral:rRNA from 1 species